CAAGGGUCAGGCAGACCUCUGUGCCCUGGGAGCUUGCCACCCUUUAGAGCUGUGCCCCAGCAGCGGCUACAGCUCAAGGCGGUAAGUGCUGGAGCUGCAAAAAGUGUUCCAUGAGAAGGUGAGGACCACCCUUAGCCAUGGAGCUCCGUGGGUCACAUCACCACGACACAGGGAGGCAGUGCUGGUGUGGUGCCUGACUAGACAGAAGCCAAGCUUGCAGAAUGCUGGCUACGUCUUCUGCCCCCUGGGCUACUUCUUCACAGACAGAGGCCCCAGCUGCCAGCCCUUCCCCACAGUUCUUGGCCAAUGUCUGCAGUGCCCAGCAGGACACUUCUGCCCCAACAGGGCCACCCAACUCAUCCCGAGCCAGCCAGGCACAUUCAGUCCCCACCCAGGCCAAGAUGAAGCCACAGACUGCGCUCCAUGCCCAGCAGGCAGGGCCUGCACCCAGGCGGGGCUGCCUCAGCCAGACGCGGAGUAUGCACCAGGGUAUGUGUGCCUUGUGGGCUCCUGUCUGCACACUCCCCGCCACGCCUGCCCACCUGGGACCUUCAGCAACCGCACCAACCUCUCCAACCUGUCGCACUGUGAGAUUUGCCCCACCAGACUGGCCUGUCCUAGGGGUACAAAGUGGGGUACCCAGUUCCCCUGCCCAGCGGGCACCUACAGCUCUCAGGCAGGCAACGGCCGGGUGGAAGACUGUCUGCCCUGUCCCCCAGGGGCCUUCUGCCCCAGGGGGGGCCCCAAGCCUGUGCUCUGCCCACGGUAAGAGAGGCUGAGGGGUGUAGCUGUUCAUGAAGUUAAGUUACCACCUGUUUAUUGAAUACAUGCCAGAGCCCAGCACUGUUCUGGGCACCGAGGGAUGUGUAAAGAGAGACAACCACCCAGCCUGCCCUUGGCACCUGGCAGCUUGUUCAGACAAGACACGGAGGAACAGGAGAUGCGGGCCCGGCUCAGGGCUGCAGGGGGAUGGGCUGGCCUGGGCGCUGCACCUCAGCCCCACGGGCCCCAGUGUUGAAAGAGAGAGAACUCACUCUGGGCUGGAGUCACCUGGGGAGGGCGCCCACCCCUCCACAGAGAAGCUGCUUCAGAACAGCCCACCCCAAAACCCAAGCACUCUGGAAGCUAAUUCCAGCCGAGGUCUCAAUAGAGGUCAUUUGGCCUAAGCUCUGGGGUUCUCUGGUGAUUUUACUGUUUUAUGAAGAUGUGCCUUUUAUUCCUCCAGUCAAAAAACACAACUUAGAGUUUUCCACAUUAAAAAAUGCAAUACAUGUUCUUCAUGCAAAAAGUGAAAACAGCAG
rnacentral:lncRNA from 1 species